GNAGGGGGCAAGCGUUAUCCGGAUUUACUGGGUGUAAAGGGAGCGUAGACGGAAUGGCAAGUCUGAUGUGAAAGGCCGGGGCUCAACCCCGGGACUGCAUUGGAAACUGUCAAUCUAGAGUACCGGAGGGGUAAGUGGAAUNCCUAGUGUAGCGGUGAAAUGCGUAGAUAUUAGGAGGAACACCAGUGGCGAAGGCGGCUUACUGGACGGUAACUGACGUUGAGGCUCGAAAGCGUGGGGAGCAAACAGGAUUAGAUACCCUGGUUGUCCACGCCGUAAACGAUGAAUACUAGGUGUCGGGUGGCAGAGCCAUUCGGUGCCGUCGCAAACGCAGUAAGUAUUCCACCUGGGGAGU
rnacentral:rRNA from 1 species